AUUGAACGCUGGCGGCAGGCCUAACACAUGCAAGUCGAACGAGUGGCGCGCGGGUGGGUAAUGUCUGUAAAACUGCCUGAUGGAGGGGGAUAACUAAUGGAAACGGUAGCUAAUACCGCAUACCAUCGGAUGUGCCGAGAUGGGAUUAGCUAUUAGGUGGGGUAAAGGCUCACCUAGGCGACGAUCCCUAGCUGGUCUGAGAGGAUGACCAGCCACACUGGAACGGAGACACGGUCCAGACUCCUACGGGAGGCAGCAGUGGGGAAUAUUGCAAAAUGGGGGCAAGCCUGAUGCAGCCAUGCCGCGUGUAUGAAGAAGGCCUUCGGGUUGUAAAGUACUUUCAGCGGGGAGGCGUUACCCGCAGAAGAAGCACCGGCUAACUCCGUGCCAGCAGCCGCGGUAAUUC
rnacentral:rRNA from 1 species